UGGAUCCAGUGGAUGCAGUCGUAGUGGCUGUUGUGGUCAGCUCUGUGAGAAUCCAGGGAGCUGGUGGCCGGAGUGCUCGGGCAGUGGCUGUAGUCGUCACAGCAAAGCACACGCACGUUGUAGUUGAAGCACAUGUUGAACCUGCCUGUCUGGUCUUCGUUCUUGCACGUCAGCCCCGUCUCCAGGCUGCAGGUCAGCACCUGCCCGACCUGGUCGAUGCUUACCUCGGGGUAGUUCUCCGCCCGGCACUCUAUGCUCUUUGGUGCCCAGCACAUCUUGCCGCCAGCAGCCCUGAUGUUUUCAAAAGUUUCCAUGUCCCCGCCUGCAACCCCUGAGGUUGGGAAGUCCACGUCAA
rnacentral:antisense_RNA from 1 species